rnacentral:rRNA from 1 species
GACGAACGCUGGCGGCGUGCUUAACACAUGCAAGUCGAACGGUAAGGCCUUUCGGGGUACACGAGUGGCGAACGGGUGAGUAACACGUGGGUGAUCUGCCCUGCACUUCGGGAUAAGCCCGGGAAACUGGGUCUAAUACCGGAUAGGACUGCGCGGUGCAUGCCGUGUGGUGGAAAGAUUUAUCGGUGCAGGAUGGGCCCGCGGCCUAUCAGCUUGUUGGUGGGGUAAUGGCCUACCAAGGCGACGACGGGUAGCCGGCCUGAGAGGGCGACCGGCCACACUGGGACUGAGACACGGACCAGACUCCUACGGGAGGCAGCAGUGGGGAAUAUUGCACAAUGGGCGCAAGCCUGAUGCAGCGACGCCGCGUGAGGGAUGACGGCCUUCGGGUUGUAAACCUCUUUCAGCAGGGACGAAGCGUGAGUGACGGUACCUGCAGAAGAAGCACCGGCCAACUACGUG